rnacentral:rRNA from 1 species
CGUCGCAAGCUUACCCUGUGAAGGCCCCACAGUAAGCAAAAUGGGCAAACCCCAGAACGUCAGGUCGAGGUGUAGCUCACGAGGUGGAAAGAAAUGGGCUACAUUUUCUGCAACAGAAUAUCACGAAUAACACUAUGAAACUGGUGUUUGAAGGUGGAUUUAGUAGUAAAAAACAAACAGAGCGUGUUUUUGAACCAGGCUCUGAGACGCGCACACACCGCCCGUCACUCUCCCCGAGACAAUACAAACAAGUAAAUAACCAAAAACACAAUAAAAAGGGGAGGCAAGUCGUAACAU